UAGGAUUUAUAUCCAUAUUUUGAACUGUUGGCAGAUACCUUUAGAAUUUGUGAAACAGUAUUUGAGCUUCAUGACUCAGAAUUCUGUAAAACUUCUGGGGCUUAAAUAUUUCUAUUCAGUUUGGUCAUAACUUUGACAAUGGAUGGAUAAAACCAUAACUAUAGUGACAAAACAAAUUAUUGGUAACCUGGUGAUAAAAAGAGAGACUCCAGACUAAUUUUCUUAAGUUUUAUCAUGAGCUGUGGUGACACGUGUCUCUACUCCAUUACAGAAUCAAGUUCCUGUUUAAUAACACUUCCAUUGGGGACUUUUGUUUAUAAGUUGGUUUGGGAGCCUAAUAAUGGAUCAAAUAAAAAGAUUUAUCCCAGAAAUCUUUCUCAUGUAAUGGAUAGGAUCAAGUAUAAUCCAUAUCUUACAAUGAACAUAUAAUAAAUAUUCUAAAGGUUAUCAUCAGUUUUAUAGGUCAAGCUGAUUCUUAAAAUUGUUUGAAAAGAUAACAUUUUCCAAAAGCAGUUUCUCUAAAUAAAUCCUUUUAAGAUAGUGAUAUUCUAAAAAGGUAUAAUUUUGAGUGAUAAAAAUAAAAUGACACUGAAUUUUCUAAAGGAAUCAUUAAUACACUAGUUGAAUGUCAUAUUUAUAUAGUUAAUAAUCCUAAAAGCAAAGUACUAGAAUAGCAUUGAUUUGCACAUUUUAUACACGCAUGCUACUUUUUAAAUCAAUUUGCUUGAAGACAACUUUUAGCUUUUAAAAUUGGUAAUAUGCAUAUUUCAUAUAAAGAUGAUCUCAAGAAAUUUCAUUCACAAUAUAGGCUUUCAAAACAUGUUCACAGGACUAGAGUGAUUACCAUG
rnacentral:lncRNA from 1 species